UACAGAGGUCUCAAGCGUUGUUCGGAUUCAUUGGGCGUAAAGCGCGUGUAGGCGGCCAGGUAGGUCCGCUGUGAAAACCCGAGGCUCAACCUCGGGACGUCGGCGGAAACCAUCUGGCUAGAGUCCGGAAGAGGAGAGUGGAAUUCCCGGUGUAGCGGUGAAAUGCGCAGAUAUCGGGAAGAACACCCGUGGCGAAGGCGGCUCUCUGGGACGGUACUGACGCUGAGACGCGAAAGCGUGGGGAGCGAACAGG
rnacentral:rRNA from 1 species